GCCAAGGAUUAGAGAGGCAUUGUUAAGACAUUAAAGCAAGUUUUCAUCCUAGUCUCCACUGUGUCUCCUUUAACUUUGCCCCAAAAGAUGAAGUUCCCCAUGCCCCUUGAUUGAAUUAUAUGCUGUCUGACUUGGACAACUGCAUUUGGGAAGAAAAGAAAAGCGAGAGGGGGGAGAGGGUAGACAGGGAGCAGAGAAAUGUAAUUUUACUGACUUGCAGACCCUUUUAAGCAACUGACCUCAUGCUCUGCAGAACCUGUUGAGCUAAUAGCAUGUUGGGGUGCCCAAAUUAUUAACAUGUAAUGGGGAAAUGCAUUCCUCAAAUGCAAAGUAAAAGCACCUUGACUCAGAACUCUAGAUCUCAUUAAAUGAGCUAAUUCACCUACUGCUUAAUUUGCUGGAAGCCCUAUGAGUAAUUAGGCUGCUGACAUCUUCCAAAAUUAUAUUCUUAAUUGUUGCAUUCUUUUGCAUCACAAUGAAGCUGGCCACCCUUCUUCCUAGGCUGCCUUCCUCCUCUCCCUGCCAGAGCUCUGUAGUGAGGCGAAGAAAGACCAAGGACCUAAGCAAGAAAUGAGAAUGGGCAGGAGGCCCAAUGUGCUCUGUGAAGGGGGUUGGAUUCAAACAGAUCUGACUGCAAGCCAGCUACACAAUAUAAUAGCUCUGAACUCAGGGUCCUUGCUCUCCCCAAGCCUCCAUUUCCUCUUUGACAAAGUUGGACCAUGAUACUUACCUCAGAAUCAGCUCUGAAGAUUAAAGGAGAAGAUGUUGGGCAACGUGUCAAACACUGUGCCGGGCACACAAAGUGCAGAAGAAAGGUUAAUUUCCAUCCUACCCCUGUUCCUCCCCAUCUCCUUGAGGUGUCAGAAUUGAAGUCAUAAAAGGAGAAAGCAAAAUCAGUAACCAGUAGCAGAAGACGGGGAGUUAAGGAGAAAAAUGAGAAGCCAUCUGACUUCAUUAUGAUAGAGAAUUUUGCUCUUUUGAAGGCAGCUUUGGGAAGAUGAGAUCCAUAUGUUCUUCUUCAUCUAUGGUAGAAUUUCUUGAAGAUAUCAGAACCACAACGAGAGAGUAGUACCGGUAUUAGCCACUGCUCACUGAGCCAAGUUGUGGACUUACUGAUACACUUAGACCAGCUCUACACCCAACAAUAGCUUGGCACUGCCUUCAUAAAGAAACAUGCCAAAACUGAGAUACCCAAGAAGGAAUAAAGCUGGGAUUGGAGCUGUUUGAUUCUAACACUACCUGGGUGGUAUUCACUAGUCCUACUGUACCUCUGUUAAAUACAUACUGCACAACCACAAUAAUCUUUUGAGUGAAUUGCAAGCUAACCCUUUGGCUUUAUGUGGGGGCUUUACCUAAAAUGGAUUCUGGUGGAAAUGGCAGUUCCCUUUUGCAUGCCCCAAAUCUGGCACACAGUAGCUGCCUUCUUACUGAGUACCAAACAUAUAAAUAGACAAUGAGAUAAAUCAAACUUAAAUAGGCCACCAGGGUAAAACCACACCUCACCCAAAGACAGAGCCAAAGUACGUGCCCUUCCUCACUGCCUGCAAAUGCCAUCUGGUCAGAGGAGCUCAGCACCUCUGUCCAGGGCUUGAGAGCAGGAAAUGAAGGUCAACUUCCUGUCAUGGAGGCAGAGAAUAUUCCAUAAACCACACUUAAUUUCCAAGGUGAGUUUUGACCUGAACAUGAGAGUGAUCUCUCACAGGUGCAUGAAGUUUUCAAGAAUGGAUGCAGAGCUGACCCUCACUCACUUUUCUACUCACAGCCAAUGGAUCCAUGUUGGCCAACCUGAUGUUAGGCAGCUUUUUCGGUGGACCUGCCGUCUAG
ensembl:lncRNA